rnacentral:rRNA from 1 species
GACGAACGCUGGCGGCGUGCUUAACACAUGCAAGUCGAACGGAAAGGCCCUGCUUUUGUGGGGUGCUCGAGUGGCGAACGGGUGAGUAACACGUGAGUAACCUGCCCUUGACUUUGGGAUAACUUCAGGAAACUGGGGCUAAUACCGGAUAGGAGCUCCUGCUGCAUGGUGGGGGUUGGAAAGUUUCGGCGGUUGGGGAUGGACUCGCGGCUUAUCAGCUUGUUGGUGGGGUAGUGGCUUACCAAGGCUUUGACGGGUAGCCGGCCUGAGAGGGUGACCGGCCACAUUGGGACUGAGAUACGGCCCAGACUCCUACGGGAGGCAGCGGUGGGGAAUAUUGCACAAUGGGCGGAAGCCUGAUGCAGCAACGCCGCGUGCGGGAUGACGGCCUUCGGGUUGUAAACCGCUUUCACCUGUGACGAAGCGUGAGUGACGGUAAUGGGUAAAGAAGCACCGGCUAACUACGUG